AGUUCACCAGCUUUAAAAAAUCGUGUCUACGUGCAAUUUAUGUAUAGUUGACCGGGAAAUUAAAGCAGCGAUCACUUGGACUAUUCCGCAGCACCCCUCUCACAUUGGUACAUCCCCCCAGGUAUUCAUUGUCUUCUACAGUAGAGCGGGACAUUUGAUUUACUCUCAGCGGAAUUGACCGGAGAAGGCAUCAGUUCAUGCACUGCACUGGCCUGCACCACGAUUAGUAUAAGGCACAUUUCACGAAGCAGAACGCAGUCUUCAGAGAUAUCCACGUGAACGCUGUGAUACGUCUGACCUUCAGUCCGAAGAAGAAACCCAGACCAGUCUUAAAAGAAAGCACAAACCAAAUCCCCUGUACACAUAUACGGACUCAGAGGAUGAGCAGCCUACAAAAAAACAGUUUCCCCAGGCCCCUCGAGUGAAAAUACCAGCCCUCAUCACUCCGCAGUCUGCCCCCCAGCCCACUGAUAGCAACCAUCAUAAUGCCCCACCCAGCUUCCGGCACCUUUCGCCACUCUGGCACAAACCGACACAGCUUUGCGAUCUCGCCAGCAUGCAGAGUCUGAUGUCUUCCCUAUAGAUGAUUCCAGAGACUCUGUGAGGCCACUAUUGCAAGGUGAGACGCUUUGCGUUGAUUGGUGCUGCUGGACCACACUGGAGGUGCGAGUCCGCCGUGUAAUGGUUUAUGCCCUUACAAAGGAGCUGGCCUCUGUACUCAACUGGGCAGGGAAAAAAAACCAAGGACCAGACAAAGCAAAAAAGGGCAUUUAAAGAGACAGCGCUGUGCAGAUGCAUAUUUGGUAAGUUUUAACAUUUAUUGUAGUUUUAUGAGCCUAAAGUGAACAAUAAAGGGAUCAAUUGAUGUGCUGGGUGCAUUUCACAUUUCCUAUGUCUGUUUUUUGCUAUAUUACUUUGUCUUUCUUAAUAACAAGACUUUCAUGUCCGGUUAAUCUGGAGAUGGAGUCUUUGGUCUUCGGCUUGUUUUGUCCUCGGGUUGUACACUUUGUACAGCCCGAGGACCCCAUGUUUUCUUUUUUUUUUUUAAAGGAUACACGGCACACCAUGCUAAGACAUAUCACAUUUUCAGCUUAUAGCUCUUUGGGAAUCAAAUGCGGCAGUUUGCUGAUUUCCGCCUGGUGACUUUCAUGUUUAUUAGCCUAGGAGUUUACAUACUUUCUCCCUGCUGAAGACAAUUAACAAGAGCUUAUUCAUGUGCUCUAAUUCCCUUUUUUUGUCUUUGUUUUUUUGUGUGUGUGUCUAUUUUUGUCCUAGAUGGCCUGGCGCAGCAGGUAGGGGCGAACUCUAUGUCUGAGUUGGUCUUUGCUCAAGCAGUCCAGAAAUGGCUCAGAUAUGCUCCAGAUCGUA